rnacentral:rRNA from 1 species
GACGAACGCUGGCGGCGUGCUUAACACAUGCAAGUCGAACGGAAAGGCCUGCUUUCCCUUGUGGAUUGCGGGUACUCGAGUGGCGAACGGGUGAGUAACACGUGAGUGAUCUGCCCCCAACUUGGGUAUAAGCCUGGGAAACUGUGUCUAAUUCUCGAUAGGACUGCAGGGUGGUGCCUUUGGUGGAAAACUUGUUUCUAGUGGUAGGGGAUGCGCUCGCGGCCUAUCAGCUUGUUGGUGUGGUAAAGGCCUACAAAGGCGGCGACUGGUAGUCGGACGGUGAGGGUGGACGGUCACAUUGGGACUGGGACACGACCCAGACUGCUGCGGGAAGCAGGAGUGGGGCAUAAUGCACCAUGGGCGGAAGCCUGAAGCGGCGACGCCGCGUGGAGGAUGACGGCAUUGUAGUUGUCAGCUCCUUUCGACGGCGAGGAAGCUACCUGGUUAGAAGCGUGGUGACGGUAGUGGUAGAAGAAGCACCGGCUAACUACGUG